AGCUUUCCUUUUAUCUUCCUCCACAGGAUCAGCCUUCGCAGGAGGUGCGAACCUUGCCAGCCUAGCUUUCUUCUUAGCAUCCUCAUCAGUACUAUCAGAUUGGCUAAGCCCAAACCUCUCAGCCCUAGCUUUCCUCUUCUGCUCUUCAGCUUUCUUUGAAGCAUCUGAACCCUGAGGUGCAGACGUGCCAAACCUCUCAGCUCGAGUGUUUCGCUUCUCCUCUUCCGAAAGCUGAACCGUCAUUCCAAACCUCUCUGCUCGCUUCAUCUUUUUCUGUAUAUCAGUAUCCUUA
rnacentral:misc_RNA from 1 species